GACAGCGAACAGAGCUUGAAUGGGUGAUCUCAGGAUGCGCUGAGGGGAGACCAUGCGCUUUGUGACACAAAUAGAACAAUAGUCUUUGGAUGGCUGAGGACCGUAAAUUGAUACAGCUGGUACAAUUGGCCCGUUAUGAAUCUGUGCCCUUUUAUCUGUGAAUUGUUCAUGAAUCAACUCUGAUUUCAGGGAAAAAAAAUCCAUUUAUACUGCAAUUAGCCUUCAGAUACUUUGGCUGGAAAGUUUCUACCAGUAGGCAGUUCACAAGCUGACUUUGGAGCGUGAGAAUUGUGGCUUAGCCACUCCAGUUUCCCGUCUGUCUCUGAAAGGUGCCAGCUCCUGAUGCUGUAAAGGGCGGUGAAGAAACUGCACAAUAGCAAUUUGCAAAGGUUUUCCAGGCGACCGCCAAAGGAAUUGAAGAUGGAGGGGAGGGAGAGAAGAGAAGAGAAGUGAACGCUCCCUGAAAGCAUUCGCAUCUGAUGGCACAAGUCUAUUGGGAACGUGUAUGGAACAGAACAGAAUAUGACCUAAUUUGAAAGAGGCUGCAGUUCAUCGGCAGGAGGGAUUUAAACACCGUUCAGACUGACAUUUUCCCUCAUCUCGCAUCCCGUGGGGUACCUGAUUGCAAAUUUAUAAUCCACCAGACGUCUUGCCAUCAGAAGAUACAGACUUACAGUAACAGCAACUAAUUUUUAAAAGAUCUGCAGCGCAUCGGUGUCUGGGGCUGGUUUACACAGACUAAUUAAUCCUUAUUUGACCUGAAUUAACUCUUAAUCUGUGUGAAAUGAAAGAGCUUUAGUGGGAUACGGCAAAUUUUAGAAGAUGGGAAAAUCCUUUCUGUGCACGAGGCUUCUGCCUCUGGGUGACACAGAUUAGAAGAGGUGCUGGGUUGCUGCUGGAAAUUAGGUCCUUCCUUUUUAUCGUUUUCCCUUUCUCCAACCAGAACAUGCAGGAGAGGAGACAUUGUUCCUCUUUCUUCAGCACGAAGCAGAGGAAGGUUAUAUCAUUAAAAGACACUCUGGGAUUUGAAUUAAAUGUCAAAUAUGGUUUUUGUUGACAAUACAAAGCCCAGUGUUGGAACAAAAACUGACAGUUCCUACCGUGGGCCCCAGAUUAAUAUUAGGCCAAUAAUCAGAUUUCACACUGGCUGGGACAGGGAUGGAUUACUAUCUGGUAGAUUAGCACAGCCACCCCGUGACCCCUUUCUGCUCUGCUGGUUCAAGGGUAUUUGUACAAGAGAUAGAGGACAGCAGUACUACACUAGCAGUAGCUCAUGA